rnacentral:rRNA from 1 species
UACGGAAGGUCCGGGCGUUAUCCGGAUUUAUUGGGUUUAAGGGGAGCGCAGGCCGAUGGUUAAGCGUGACGUGAAAUGUAGCCGCUCAACGGCUGAACUGCGUCGCGAACUGGCUGUCUUGAGUGAGUUCGAUGUGGGCGGAAUUCGUGGUGUACCGGUGAAAUGCUUAGAUAUCACGAAGAACUCCGAUUGCGAAGGCAGCCCACAAGGCCUUUACUGACGCUAAAGCUCGAAGGUGCGGGUAUCGAAC